rnacentral:rRNA from 1 species
AUUUAAUUCUAUAUAUCUGCCCAAUGACGCAUGUUAUAUGGCUUUAAAGUAGCGUAAUAAUUAGUUUAUUAAUUGUAAACCUGUAUGAAGACAGCAUUUAAAUAAGAUGUUUUUUAAGAUUUAUAAAAACUUAGAAGAUUAAUUAAAAUGUUAAUAUAAUUUCUAUGGACGAUAAGACCCUAAGACCUUAAUUAAAUUUAGCUGGGAUAGCUUUCUUAAAAUAAUAAAGACUAUAAAGUUAGAUUAAACCAAAAAUUUUGCUUUUAAAAAGGUACCUUAGGGAUAACAGCGCAAAGUAUUUUUAAAGCCCCUAUUAGUAAUAUAUUAGUGACCUCGAUGUUGAAUUAAGUAAUAUGAAGCUGCAGCAGGUUUCAUUUUAAGUCUGUUCGACUUAUUGUACUUACAUGAUUUGAGUUUAGAUCGACGUAAGCCAGAUUGGUUUCUAU